ACGCUGGCGGCAGGCUUAACACAUGCAAGUCGAACGGUAACAGGAAAUAGCUUGCUAUUUUGCUGACGAGUGGCGGACGGGUGAGUAAUGCUUGGGAACAUGCCAAAACGUGGGGGACAACAGUUGGAAACGACUGCUAAUACCGCAUAAUAUCUUCGGAUCAAAGCAGGGGACCUUCGGGCCUUGCGCGUUUUGAGUGGCCCAAGUGGGAUUAGCUAGUUGGUAAGGUAAAGGCUUACCAAGGCGACGAUCCCUAGCUGGUCUUAGAGGAUGACCAGCCACACUGGAACUGAGACACGGUCCAGACUCCUACGGGUAGGCAGCAGUGGGGAAUAUUGCACAAUGGAGGAAACUCUGAUGCAGCCAUGCCGCGUGUGUGAAGAAGGCUUUCGGGUUGUAAAGCACUUUCAGUGGGGAGGAAAGGUUGCUGGUUAAUAGCCAGUAGCUGUGACGUUACCCACAGAAGAAGCACCGGCUAACUCCGUGCCAGCAGCCGCGGUAAUACGGAGGGUGCGAGCGUUAAUCGGAAUUACUGGGCGUAAAGCGCGCGUAGGUGGUUAAUUAAGUCAGAUGUGAAAGCCCAGGGCUCAACCCUGGAACUGCAUUUGAAACUGGUUAACUAGAGUUUUGUAGAGGGUGGUAGAAUUUCAGGUGUAGCGGUGAAAUGCGUAGAGAUCUGAAGGAAUACCAGUGGCGAAGGCGGCCACCUGGACAAAGACUGACACUGAGGCGCGAAGGCGUGGGGAGACACAACGGGAUUAGAUACCCCGGUAGUCCACGCAGUAAACGAUGUCUAUUAGAAGUUUGUGGCAUAUGCCGUGGGUUUCAAAGCUAACGCAUUAAUGACCGCCUGGGGGGUACGGCCGCAAGGUAAAACUCAAAUGAAUGACG
rnacentral:rRNA from 1 species